GAUCGGCCCGCGUCUGAUUAGCUAGUUGGUGAGGUAACGGCUCACCAAGGCGACGAUCAGUAGCUGGUCUGAGAGGAUGAUCAGCCACAUUGGGACUGAGACACGGCCCAAACUCCUACGGGAGGCAGCAGUGGGGAAUAUUGGACAAUGGGCGCAAGCCUGAUCCAGCCAUGCCGCGUGAGUGAUUAAGGCCCUAGGGUUGUAAAGCUCUUUUGUGCGGGAAGAUAAUGACGGUACCGCAAGAAUAAGCCCCGGCUAACUUCGUGCCAGCAGCCGCGGUGAUACGAAGGGGGCUAGCGUUGCUCGGAAUCACUGGGCGUAAAGGGUGCGUAGGCGGGUCUUUAAGUCAGGGGUGAAAUCCUGAGCUCAACUCCAGAACUGCCUUUGAUACUGAGGAUCUUGAAUUCCGGAAAGGUGAGUGGAACUGCCAGUGUAAAGGUGAAAUUCGUAGAUAUUCGCAAGAACACCAGUGGCGAAGGCGGCUCACUGGCCCGAUACUGACGCUGAGGCACGAAAGCGUGGGGGAGCAAAACGGGAUUAGAUACCCUGGUAGUCCCCCCCCGUAAACGAUGAAAUGCCAGCCCGUUAGUGGGUUUUCCUCCCUAAGGGGCCCACCUUAACGCUUUUAAGCAUUUCCCCU
rnacentral:rRNA from 1 species